AGUGUCCAAAAAGUGGAGCAGCAAAUGGGAAGUGACUGGCAUUCAGAAACUGACACAGGAUCCUGCAUUUCUAAACAAUGCUGACAACGCACACUGAGGCAGCACCUCCGGGGAAGUCUCCGUGCUCCGAUGCUGUGGCCAUGUACAGCAUAUGCAGUCCCCAAAGGGAUAUUUCAGCACAGAGUUUCAAUGUAAAAUGACACACGCUACUGCAGGCUAGAGAUCUUAUUGGGGACACAGGGCUAUAUUCAUCUGCUUCCCAGCAAGAAAACCAGAAAGCCAGAGAUAAACAGAAGUCAAUCAAAGCAGAAAGUGACAUCUAGAAAAAAAACACCUAAUUCUGCCAAACCUGUUUUGCUGAAUAAAGAUAAGAGCGCUGUGGACAAUAUGGCUUUGGUAUAAGAAAUUAAAUGAUGGCACCAUUCCCAAAAGCAACUAAAGCAGUUGACAUCGGGCUUGUUCCCAACAGCCUAGAAGGGACUAAGAAUGGAAGAACAAUGGACAAUUAAGAAACUGUUUCUACGGACUCUGAAUUUUGCAAGACUAAUUAUGAAAAUAAGCCUUGUUACAGAGUUUCAGCAUUUGAAAGUAUUACUGUGCUUUACUUCCUACUCUGAAAGGGUGGAGUUUGUUUCAUGGUUUAAGGGAUGGUGCUACCAUCAGAAUCCGGCCAGGCUAUUUUCUGCGGCGUCUGCGCAUAAAGAUGAUGUUCACCCAAUUACCAGCGACUCCUCGCAUGGAAAUCUACCAUCAAUACUAUUAACAUAAACAGCAUCUGGCAAAAUACAUGGCCUUCAACCUACAGCAAAACCUGCGCUGGACUCUCACAAAGGAAAAAGGCCAGGUCUGGCUUCCAUUUGAUUUCCAGAGAAUACGCAAUUAAUUAUUUUUUCUCACCGUCAGCAGCUGAGUCUCAGUGAAAUCCGUGCUUGUAAUUAUCGCUGUAAUUAUUAUUUUAAUACAAAUCAGCAACUUAUCAAAAUAUUACGUGUCAGGUGCUACCUCUCUGCUGCAAGACUAUGGAUGGAAGGUGGAGGCCGUCACCCCAGCUUCACUCUGUGCACACAGAGGAUGGGAAUCAGGGUGAGGGUACUUCUACCAGAGCCAGACUUUCAGCUUCCUAGAUGUCCACGUCCACAGUCAGUUUCACACUCGACCUUUUUUUUACAGGCAAUAAGUCACUCU
ensembl:lncRNA novel transcript